CGCUGGCAAAGUUGUGGAAACCUGAUACGUACUUCAGCAACUUGAAGGACGGCGAGAUCCAUACGGUGUCCAUGCCUAACGUUCUGUAUAGAAUAUACAAGACUGGCGACGUUCUGUACAGCAUGAGAGUAACGCUGAGGCUUUCCUGCCACAUGGAGUUUCGCGAAUAUCCUCUCGACUCCCAGGUGUGCGGAGUCCAUGUCACCUCCUAUGCCAACACGGACGACUUGGUGAAGUACCGGUGGCUGGCCGACAGGCCCAUCGAUCUGCCGGAG